UUAUGCUUAGACCACUUUUUGUAGGCCUCGUAGUCCCUGUAGUCCCAAACAUAACCUAUUUCUUAACUCCUCACAGAUUGGGACUUCUAUUUGUUUUAAGACUCAGACUCUAUUCCGUUGCAUCGCACGUCUCAGGCGCAUCAAAUCUGAGGCCGUUCUCUAUGCUCGUUUGCCUCGCAUGAAGCCCGCCAAAGACCCAUUUUCUCGUGUUCAAAUCACAUCGCUC
rnacentral:lncRNA from 1 species